rnacentral:sRNA from 1 species
UUUUUGCGUGAAGGAUAGCAGUGAAAAUCCUUUGUUGCAAUUCUUUUUGCAACAAAGAUUGUAACGUAUAGCCUGACCCUUG